GGGGGCAUAGCCGAAUUGGCACAGGCGCAUGGUUUAGGCCCAUGUGGAGCAAUCCGUGGGAGUUCGAAUCUCCCUGCCCCCACCA
rnacentral:tRNA from 1 species